UACGAAGGGUGCUAGCGUUGUUCGGAAUCACUGGGCGUAAAGGGUGCGUAGGCGGCUUGACAAGCCAGAGGUGAAAGCCUGGAGCUUAACUCCAGAACUGCCUUUGGAACUGUCUGGCUAGAGUGUCGGAGGGGAUAGCGGAAUUUCUAAUGUAGCGGUGAAAUGCGUAGAUAUUAGAAGGAACACCGGUGGCGAAGGCGGCUAUCUGGACGACAACUGACGCUGAGGCACGAAAGCGUGGGGAUCAAACAGG
rnacentral:rRNA from 1 species